rnacentral:siRNA from 1 species
UGGCUUGAGCAAGGUGUUUCCUU